rnacentral:misc_RNA from 1 species
AAUGAUUAUAAUGAAUGUAUAUACAUAAAUCAGUUUCAAGCCAAGGACAGAAAAAUGCUGAAAUUCACCAAGAAAUUCAGUGUUAUGAUGAAAUUAAAAAUCAAAACAUGAUUAUAUGUUACGAUCUUUAUCAUCUUCAAGUAUCAUCGGGGACCUUGUUCGCUAAGUGAAACCUCGUUUCUUGAUUUAUCUACCGCAUUCAUUUCUGGAUUAGGUGGUGAUGCUUGUGGCUCUUCGUCAACGAUACUGUGCAUAAAAUAUGCAGGUCUUGAGGGUGGUGGGAGGGAGACAGAGUGACUGCUAAGCAUGAGAAUAACCGAAUCCAUAGCAGGUCUCCUUGUCACAUCUUCUUGAACACAUAGUAACCCAACAUGGAUACAUCUUAUCAUUUCAUUUCUUGAGCCAACAUUUAAUGGAAUAGCAUCUAUCAGAUUUAAUGGCGUUCCUUCAUUCCAACUUCUCCACGCAUAGGUAAAGAGGUUUUCAUCCACUUCUCCAUUUCUGAAACAGCUAACCUUUUGACCGCUCAUUAUUUCCAAAACAAGUACACCAAAGCUAAAUAUAUCAGAUUUCAUAGAGAAUCGCCCAUGCAUUGCAUACUCUGGAGGCAUAUACCCACUAAAUAUAUACAAUCAAUAGUUAAUAUAAGCAAUAAUUAAGCUCAUGAUUACGCCUACGAUUAUAUUUGAGCUAAAUACUUGAGCUCCAGCUAGUUUAAUUCUUACAUACUUACUAGGUCCCCAUAAUUCUACGUGUAGCAUCUUGAGAUUGAUCCAAUGGAAGCAAUCUUGCUAUUCCAAAAUCAGAAAUUUUAGGAUUCAUUUGUUCAUCUAAUAGAAUAUUACUAGCUUUGAGAUCACG